UCCCACGGAUCGGGCUCCUGGUACAGCCACCAUAUCAACAACCCAGCGGAAGUAGCACUGGAGUCCAAGGCAGCAAAGGCAAUCUAGUCUUCUUCCGAAACCGAAAGACAGCUUCUAACGUUGCCAUGGCGACUCCAAACAGAAGGCGUGAGCCUGUUUGUUACAAAACUGCCUUCAAAGAACCCUGCGAUCAGCACUAGGGUGAGGACUCGACAGUCCAGCCAGCUCUUCAUCAGAACACGUGGUGUCUGAAGGAGCCACAGAGACGAGCGUGGGACUGAGCACCUGGAAACCACAGGGCCUGGUGAGUCCAAGCGACAAGUGGUCCCUGCCCCACCCCCCGCCGAGCACUCGUGUGGCGGCAGUGGUGCAUCGGAGGAUUCGGGAGGACGCGGGCUCCACGCUGAGCCCUGCAGCCUUGCACCAGGAUAUUUUUAAAAAUUAUUUUUAGACGACAAACCCGUUUAUGGCAAGGAGUUUAUGGCAAACUUUCCAAAGCGUACUACUUAGUAGGCCACAGAACAGACGUCAGAAACCUUUGAUGAAGUUGGUCUGAGAACAGGACGCCCCAUACCAGGCAAGACCGUGUCAUUAGGCUUCCACGAAACCUGUCCUCUUCUGCCACAUCAUGACAAGACCUCCCUCAAGGUGAGGAUGCUUAAUAAACAGCUUCCACAACUAGUACCUUCUCAGACUAUGGUAAAACUGCGUAAUUUUUCAGACUGCAAAGCAGUAGUUGGGUUUUAAAUGUUCUGAAAAUGCUUUACGUUGCUGAGAACCAAACACUUCAAAACAUGGCAAUUUCUGUCAGCCGAAGGAAAGAAAGGACGCGGAAUGUGACACCGACAGGAUGACUUCUCCUGCUGAGAUAACCAGCUCUGCUUCCCUCCCAGCCACGCGAGUCGGAGAGACUGUGUACCUCGGGGGCCACACUCCCGGUGGGCCCAGGUCUCCGACCCCGACCCCGUCUGCAGGCGUCCUGACCCACCUCUGCCCUGCUCUUCAAGUAUUCACUUUCUGAGGAGAGAAGAAAAAAAAAAAAGGCAUUUCCCAAACGGUUGCCCAGGGAACCCCAGGCUCCAAUGAGGCUCUGGCUGCUGCAGGAGGAACCUGUCCAAACACGCCAUAGGGGGCACCUGAGUGGGGCGAGGCGGGGGCAGAGGAGGGAGGGCAACUUACCUAUGACACGGGGCACAGACAAGAGAGGGUCCUCGCGGAGGAAAUAAACCUGAAAAACGCCGUUAGUGUUCCUGUAUGAAGUGCCAACCACUUCUGCAGAGGCGACUCUACCUCCAAACUAAGAGACACUUCACUGCGCAGUAAAGCGCAUCCCAGCUCUGCCUUCAUCUGCAACGAUUCUCUCAACUUCCACGUAAGUCACUCAGUUAAACUACGCACUCUUCUCACUCAGAAAACUAAAGUGGAAGUCUUCAUCGUGCAGACUGUGCACCCGGCCUCCUCUCACGGUGCUGGAAACCAGUGUGUGUUCAGUAACCAGCACAAACCACCCUUUGGGCUCCCUCUUCCUUCUCCAAAUUGUUGGUCUAUCUGAUGUCUAAUUUCCCUCUGCAUUUUUGCAAUUUAAUACGAGGGCACAUCUGUGGUUCAAGUGUUUCAGUGCCGUGCCGAUGCGGACUGUUCUAGGUUUUGUAGUGUAUCCUAACAGCAUUCAUAAAUCAAUGUAUGUGUACGCUCUCAUUUGCCAAUUAACGGCUAAUCGUUAAUACCGAACACGGUAGAAUAAACCCCAACUAACAGCAGAGGGUGGGGGAACCAAUAACUGGCAGAUCUGUAAACUGCAGGUCACAGUCCGAAGAACAUAAAGCAACACUGGUGUUAAUAUGUCCUACAAGGAGGAGAGGCUUUCAGUCUUUAUCGAGGGAAAAAGUCAUCUCAGAAACACCACUGCUUGGAAAGCCGAGGCUGCCUUUCGGUCUCUUAAAUCUCUAGGGAACUAGAACAUCAAAGAGGUGGUACAAAGGCCCAAUAAAACACUGCUGAAUCUGACAGAAAUAUCCUAACGUAUAUACAAGGGUCAACCAGAGAAAUGUUGUCUCUGUGCAUAACCUGUUUCUUAAAGAUUCUGGAACAAAGGCUCCAUUCACUGUCCUCAGUAUGCACAACUUGCUUUCCGUCAACCCAACGUCUAAAGGGAGAGAUGAGCUGGUCCCAGCUUGAAGGCCCCUCUCGGGAGCCUGAGCCGUCCUUCCAUCUCGCCAGGCCCGUCAGCGUCAUCACGUGGGCGAAGAACCGCGGAACCACGGUCCUCAGCCUGGCCCCUGGCCGGGAUGAGCCCUCUGUCCUUCACGAAUCCCAGAUGGCUAAAGCGCAGGCACCCAAGCUUGGCUGCUGCCACCCCGCCCAGCGAGCCUGUCAGUGUGGUGGUGAAGUAACGGGAAGAUGAUACCCGCUCGGGUCCGCAGUCACCACGCGCUCCCCACUCCACAGCGCCUGUGGCCGAGCGAGGGCUGGGCUUGCAGGUACCUCACAUCCACAGGGUUUUGUGGUAAAGGAUCCUACGGCACCGAAACUGAUUUUGUCCAUUGCGCAUUCUGGAGUCAUCUCACUCACCACCUCAAAGCCGGGCGUGGUAAGGGGCAGUCGGUCUGGCGUGUGCCACACAACAGGUCUCAGAUCAGAACCAACCACGGCCACUUCUAACUUAAAGCACAGGGCCUGGGGCCACCAAGCGGUUCCACGUGUAUCUGGGGCAGGGCUCUAACGUCACUUCUGAGACUCCGCAGGAGCCACUGCGUGUACCGUGCUCAGCAGAGCCUGGCACAUGCCGGGCAUGUAGCAGAGGCCCACGAUACGGAGCAGGGCCUGUCCCAUGGGGGGGUCCCCCUCCCCCUCUCCUGGGUCCCCGCAUGCUAUACUGUCACCGUGUCAUCCUGAGCCCUUCUAUGGAACGUGUGCUCACCUGUGUGCAGGGACUCCGGGCUGGGCCACUGCAGCUCCUGGCGCACACAGGAGGAGGGAAGUUUUAAACACCUCUGGAUGAAUGCUCCCUGGUGCCUGGCCUCCGUCCUCUAACAAGGGCAGGCACCCCAGUUCUCCCGUCAGAUCUGAGCUGUACGUGAGGCAUCAGUGACACAUGCACACAGACCCCACCCCGCGCUGCACAGCCUCAGCCUCUGGGCUGCAGGGGAGACCUCCUGAGGGAGAGGCUUUCUGGACAGAGUAAACUUCUCAAGGAAAGAGUCUCAACUCGCAUCCAGGGGCACUGCCGGCAGCAAGCCGCACUUGGCGAUGGCGCAGAAGGUGUGAUGUAACCUGAGGUCCCUGGGCUCUGAUGACUGAGAAGCUUAUGAAGAGAAGCCAGUGAGAGCCCAGAAGAGACAGCCCACUCAAGGCCCUGGCAGCCAGGUAGGAGGGUAUUUCUAUAGUGCUCUGUGCUCUUUGGAAUAAGGGAAUUGCUGGCUUGAAUGAAUUUCUACCUUCCAUGUAAGCAAACCUUUGCCAGAGGAAUUAACUUAAGUGUCUCUCAUGUAAGCCAAGACUGCCAGUUUAUCUGCACAAAAUAAUAACAGUAAUAAUAAUAAAAGUAAUGGCAGCAGCGGGUGUUAUCACCUGCAGAGUGUACAACAUGUGUCAGGGGCUGUUACAAGCACUCACAGAAAGUAUUCAACCUUCACAAACACACCACCUGCGGGAGGUGUUAAAAACCCAUUCUACUGAUGAGAAAACUCAUCAGACACAGGAGGCUGAGGUCCUGUCCGAGGUCACACACCUGAAGUGGGCGGGCCUAGCUUGGAUGCAGGCUCCAGCACCCACCCCGCUGCUCCUAAGCCCUCCUCAGGGCCCACAGCCGACGGGAGGACACUUGGGGGAGGCCCAGUGCGGUCCUUCCUCCGGCCAGUCUGACCGCGAGCUUCUGAGCUCUGCCCACACAACAGCAAAGGAGCAGCAGGUUUUAUAACACUUGAAACAGAGCCCCUUUCUCUUCAAAGAAAUCUCGAAAGAUAAGUUCUCAGAUACCAGUCAGAGUGACUACCUCUGCAAAACGCCUUUGGAAGUAACAAUAAACAGCUCAAAGUGAAAUUAAAAUUUCGAGGAGAGAACGUUAAGUAACCCCAUCCAAAUUACGGAAGAUAACUGUUGGUCUAGUACUAAUGACAUCUGACGUUAAUAAAGCACAGCCAAGGGUCAGAAACAGUUCUAAGACACAAGGGCGUAAAUGAAGAACACAAACAGUGCGGCGCUUCUGGAGGACUGUGGACUCGACAAGACCCAGCAGGGACCAAAGCGUCAGCAUACUGCAUGUGCCUAAGCAUCUGUUAGCACUGUCCUUGGUCCAAAUGUCACUAGUCUCCGGGGGUGAUGAACUCUAUGGGUCACCCAGGCCAUGCUGGUGGCCUCUCCACCCCUCCUCCCCUCCCAGCAGCUCCCAGAGUCCCCAGUCAAGAGGGGGUGGGGGCUUCCCUGGUGGCGCAGUGGUUGGGAGUCCGCCUGCCGAUGCAGGGGACGUGGGUUCGUGCCCCGGUCCGGGAGGAUCCCACAUGCUGCGGAGUGGCUGGGCCCGUGAGCCAUGGCCGCUGAGCCUGCGCGUCCGGAGCCUGUGCUCCGCAACGGGAGAGGCCGCAACAGUGAGAGGCCCGGGUACCGCAAAAAAAAAGAAAACAUAAAUAUAGGAAUAAAAAAAACUUGAACAUCUUCAUGACACAGGAAAUCCAAAUGGUCAAUAAACCAAAUGAUCAACAAAAAAUCAAAAUGUACUUAUUACUAAUUAGAGUAUUUAAAAUAACAUCACAAGGACAUAUUAUACUCAUCAGAAUGGCGAAAAUUUUUAAGUGACAGCAUCAAGUGUCGAUAAGGUAAAGGAAAGGGAGCUCAUAUACUGCUGAUGGGAGUAAAAACUGGUACGAUCAAUUCCAAAAAGAGUUUGGCAUCACCUAGAAUAAAGCUGAAGAUAUGCAAGACACAGAUUCCAUUCCUUAAGAAACCCUCAUGCUCACGUGCCAGGACACAUGCAUGUACGAAAAAGUUCACAGCAGCAUUAACUGCGAUAGCCCCAAAGUGGAAAUGAGCCACAUGUCCGCCAACUGAAUGAAUGAAUGAACGUUGUAUCUUCUUGCAAUGGAAUACUAUACGGUAAACUACAUGCAACGGUUGGCUUGAAUCUCACAAUCAUGCUUUUGAGUGACAAAUGACAAAACAAUGCAAGCCAUGAUUCCAUUUAUAUGAAUUUCAAAGACGGCCAACCCAAAGCACACUGUGUAGGCCGCAUGCACAGGAGCUAACCAGAGGAGGGCAGGGAUGCCCGAUAAGGAGCUCGGAUGGGGAGGGGCUCAGGGAAGUCUGGCAGUGUUUUUCGCCUCGACCUGGGUGUUGGUUACACAUGUCUGCUUUACAAUUAUUUGCAAACAACACACAUAGGCUCUUCCCACUUUUCGGUACUCACAGUGUAUUUCAAGAUAAGUACAAUUAAAAAAAAUUAGGAUGACUGAACUUGAAGUUUGGGUUGAUUUGCCAAAUGGCAAUUCACAUGUUCCCUCAACUAGACAGCCCUAAGAAAUACUGCCCCGUAACGCCCCAAAGAGCCUCUGAAUUCUGCGGCUUCCACUGUCUCAGUGAUUCACAAGUGUUGCCCAGGAUGUGCAGCCCACUCGCAGCCCGGGUGCCUGAUGGAUUGUGCAUCAGAAACUUUCGUUGUCAUUUUCUUCUUGAAAACCCAUUAGGAUUCCCUGGUGCUUCCUAAUUACACCCAGAGGAAACAUGUGAACAAGAGCUGUGCUAGUUUCUGAAGGUGCUUUAGGACAGAAAGACAGCAGAGUAGCUUUGAUUCUGACAUAUUUUGGUUUCUCUCAAAAACUGGGAAAAUGUUUUGACUUCUGAGAGGAUUUUCCUAUCCUUAACCAGAAACUGCAGAUCUCUCUCUGCAUUUGACACUGUCUUCAUUCUGUGAGCUUCCAUGAGAAUGUUAAAAUUAGGCCCUUAACUAAAAGAAUGCAGACACGACUCUCUUGUAAGCGCUGGCUCAUCACAGUCACGUGAAGGCUCUCCAGCACAGGGCUGGGCCUGUGCUGGAAACUGCGAUCCACCUCUUAGCUUUGCUCUUGCCGGGCUUCUGUCCAGCAGCGAGGCUUCUGCACAGCACGGGGCCUGCUUUCCGCUGCACUCAGUUAACCCUGAAGAAGAGGUCUGCCCGUUGCCCACACAGCCUUUCCUGGCAGCUCAGAGGCCAGCUGCCGGCGUGGGGAGGGGGCCGGCCAGGGCUCACAGGCCACACGGCCAUGCCCCACUCUGGCGGCCCCAGGGGCAAAGGCACCUUGUCUCUACCUCAGAGGAGACGUCCAGACCUGAGGACGGUAGAAUGGAAAAGGCGAGUAUGUCUGAAAGUUAGCUUUACUUUUAUAUGUUCUG